AAGGGGUGGAGGCCACAGGACUCGACAGCAUCUCGUAGCCGAGGGGCGGAGCUGGCAAGUUCUGGACCACAGCCAGGUGUCGCACCCCCAACUUCCUCUUCUGUAGUGGCAGUCCUAAUCGAUUCUGGGAUGCACACUAGGUCCUGGACCGCGCCUUCCCUUGACUGGGGCACCAGGACCGGGUGAUAAGAUCGCUGUCCUCCAUUGGUUCCCACAGAAACCACGUGCUAACCCUGAGCCUUCUUACCCAAAAACUGAACAAUUCAGUAGAAUGUGGAAACAGCUCUCAUUCCAAGCAAACCCAGAAGGGACUCUGGAGAAAGAAUGGCAGUGGUACCUGUUUGGAGCUUCAUGAGUCUCCUCAACUCCAUCACCUGCACUUUCAAGCUAAGCCAAAUGCAGCUGCUUGGCAACCAUAUUGUCUGUAUUUCCCCUACAAUUCCACUCAGUAUAUCUCUUAUACUAUGCUUCUUCCUAAGCAACGUCCAGUGAAUUUUGUUG
rnacentral:lncRNA from 1 species